CAAGUGCUGGGUUUCAUAUGAAAGAGAGGUGAAAUGAAGGAGCAUAUUGAGAAUAAUCCUGCCUUCCCAUCCUUAAGGUCCAUUCUCAAACUGGUAAGCAUUUUGUCCUGAGAAAACUACCUUCCUCUUAGGGGCAAUGUAAUAUCCCAAUAAUAGUAAGUCUUUGAUAUGCUGGAGCCUAGGGAAGUGGCUGUGACAUUGGAUCUCCAUGACUGAAUAGGGCAAGUCAUUGUGACCAUAGGUAAUGAACUUCUUGUGUUUUUAUAUAGAUUUCAUGUCUUCCACCCUCAAUGUGUUUUAAAUGUGUGUAAGAGAGAUAUUGGUUAUAAUGCAUGGUUCUGAGGCAUGUGCACUGGGGAACUUUGAGACUAAUGUCUUAUAAAAAUUAAUCUGUGUAUCACUAUGUUCCAAAGAGUGAAUGUAACUCUUUGUUAAUGUAGCUAGUCGAGUGACUAUCUAGGGUCAAUGUUAUGUAAGCUUUUAAUAUUUGACAUUCCAUUAAGAAGAUUUUGUUUCUCAACUUCACUAAUUUCUCUUGUGCUUUGUAGUUGGAAGUGACGUUGAAUGGAAGGUGCAUUUUGUCGCUCAGAAUUCUCACCACCACACCAAAGAAGGGCUGGUUUUGUCAUUGGUAGCAGCUUUCUCAACUGGGAAUAACAAGAAUAGUGUUUCAGAGACAACAACACAAUUUUCAAUAAGUUUUUUGCAGGAUAAUUCAUUCAUUUCUAAGAAAUCAGGAAUUCAUAUGGUUUUUGAAGACUGUAAAUUCAAAUACUGUGAGGCAUUAAUAACAUGUUCAAGAUGGACCAAGAGCUGGGUUUCACAUGAAUGAGUUUUUUCCCUCCUCUUGAGAUCAGACAUGAAGAAGAAUUUCAAGAAUAAUUCUGCCUCUCGUCUUUAUGGGCCACUGGGAAUUUUUAUACUGACUGGAAAUGAUUUGGGAAUUACAUGGAAUACUCACCACCAUAAACAGGUGUUGGUUUUGUUGUUCUCACCUGUUCCCUUUCCUGGGAUAAAACAAAACAAUGCACUCCAAAGGUAUUGACCAGUAGCUGAGUUUCAUAUGAAAGAGCUUAUUUCUUCCUCUUGAGAGGUGACAUGAAGGAAAGUAUUAAAAAAAAGUUUCAUAAUCUCAUCCUCAAGAACCAGUGGGAGUUCUAACAUCAGUAAGCCUUUUGUCCUGAAAAUACUGGCAUUCCUCUUAGGACACUGUAACAUGCAUAUGACAGUGCAACUCUGGCUGUGCUGGUCAGUCAUGAGAGUGUCACUGACUGUGAUGACUGGUCUCCAUCAUUGAAUACUGUAGGUCAGCUUGUCUAAAGGUAUCAGAACCCUGAGUGCUCAGUGCCUACCACAUACCUUAGUAUCAAAGCCCCUUUUCCUAAUGUGCCUGGAUCAUUUAUGACUUCGAAUCUGGAUCUCAUUGGAAUAUGAACAAACUGAGUGGCAUGGUCACAUGUCAGCUAAGGUCCCUCUCUUGGACCAUAGGAGGCAAAAUUGUGGGGGGCGUUCAGCUGGUCUAGUAGCAGUACCAGCCAGGACUAGAGUGUUUGAAAGCUCACCUGACUGCAUAUAUUAAGGGAAAUGAGUUGUACAGAGGUACAUAAAUGUCUGGUUUAGGGAUGAUGGCAUGGCACCAUCCACUCACUCACAGUCAUCAGACUCUGGGAACCAGCACAUGAGUAGUGAGACCCAGGAGAUAUGUUUUUGUCUACUUUGAGCCGUUCGCACAACUUUCUUAGAUGCUGCAGUCUGGUUAGUGAGUGGUAGUCUAUCGAUUACAUAGUCACUGCAAAAGAUACUAUGUCUUUACUUAUCAAUUUUUUGGAUAAAGCAAAUAUAUGGAAAUUUAAAAGUAGUUUCUAUCUACAGGAAUAUCUUAGAGCAUAGUUUGACUUGACUAUUAGCUCAGUCAUAAGAAUUCAAGAACUCUUUUUUCUUUUCACCCAACAAUAAACUUUCUAGACAUUUGGAUGAUAGAUUCAAGUAGAUGGGCACUCAAUCUUUUUAAUUGUGAAAUUGUUGCUUUUUCAAUUCUUGGCAUUUUAUUGGUUAAUAUUCAUAUUCCUUUAGUCUGUUUCAUAUGUAUCUUAAGGGAGAUCCCAGUUUUAAUGAGUGAUACUGAGGGUCCUUUAGAGAAACUUUGGCCAGGUCUUAGGACAAACAACUUUCUAUAGUCUCCUGUUCCAUGGAACAUGUGUAUUUUUGUCAUGCCACACAGUUGGUCAGCAAAUGUAUAUAAUUAAUUCCUUAUAACUUCUUCUCAAUUAAUAUUCAAUUCGCAAGGUUUUCCUUCUCAAUAACUCUAAUUUCCUCUGUGGCUUGUAGGUUGGAAAAAGCACUGGAAUUGCAUGGGAUUCUCAGCCACCUCACCAAGGCAGAGAUGGCUUUGUUAUUUCUACCAGCUCCCUUAUCUGAGAAGAAAUACAAUGAUGCACUCUCAUUUUUUAUAAAUUUUCCCUGGGUUGUUGUAAUUAUUUUUAAGUAAUCAAGAACUUAACUAGAGUCUGUCCAUUCAACAGUGUGAGGCCUUAAUAAUCUGGUGAUUCUUUGAGGCUCCUUUUUUGUUCUUUUCCAGAAUUUCUGUAUUUUCUCAGUCUUCCUGCGGAUGCCUCAUAUGGGAAUUAAGUGUGGAGGUGAUGUCAGGGCUGUUCCUCACCACUGUGCCAGAGAGAAGUUUUUUCUACUGAAGGAUGUGCUUGCCCAGAUGUCACUGAACCCUUAGCUAUGUGGCCCGUUGAGCAUCUCCCUGACAUUAGGACAGGAAAUAUUUCAUGGUCAAAAAGGAUAGAGCUCGGGUUUCAGAUGAAAAUGUUUAUUCCUUCCCUUGAGAUACGAAUGAAGGAAAGGCCCAUCCUCAGAGGCCAGUGGGAAUCCUCAGGGUAGUAUGUCCCUAGAAUACUGACAUUCCUUCUAAGGAUCUUGUAACACUCCACAUACUGCAAGGCACGUCUACGAUAGCUGUGGAGCCUGGACCAUUGAUGAGGGGUCUUCUCCGUGACUGCAGAGGGUGGAUUGAAAGUGAUGUUGGAGAGAAGGGAUAUUUUGCUGCCUGAAAUUCUCACUGCCACCCUAAAGUGCCAUUUUUUGUCACUUGGACCAGCUUCUUUCUCUGGGAAAAAUCAGAACAAUGCACUCCAGAGGUUGGCUUGGACCAAAAACUGGGUUUCAUAUGGAUAAGAUUUAUUGCUUCCCCUUGAGAUAAGACAUACAGGAAAGUGUUGGGAAUAAUUAUUUCUCCCAUCCUAAGAGGCCUGUGUUAAUUCUCAAAAAGGUGAUAGAGCCUAGAAGGAAAGGAAAACUGUCUAUGCAUUUGCUGAAGCUCUUGAAUGUCAGCUCUAGAGAAUAAAGUGGCUGCAUACUUCUCCAUCAGUGUUCUGUCUUCCCACCUGUGACCUUUUGUACACACCUG